UACGUAGGGUGCAAGCGUUGUCCGGAAUUCUUGGGCGUAAAGAGCGUGUAGGCGGCUUGAUAAGUCUGCUGUGAAAGUCCAGGGCUCAACCCUGGAAAGCCGGUGGAUACUGUCAAGCUAGAGUCCGGAAGGGGCGAGUGGAAUUCCUGGUGUAGCGGUGAAAUGCGCAGAUAUCAGGAGGAACACCUAUGGCGAAGGCAGCUCGCUGGGACGUGACUGACGCUGAGACGCGAAAGCGUGGGGAGCAAACAGG
rnacentral:rRNA from 1 species